rnacentral:rRNA from 1 species
CAACACUCUAGCCAGAUUGAUUUCAUCCUCUCGAGAAGAGAAGAUAGGCGUGCGUGCCUAGACUGUAAGGUGAUACCUGGAGAGAGUGUUGUACCCCAGCAUAAGCUGGUGGUUGCUGACUUCCGCUUUUGGAUUCGUGUCCAGCGGGAUAAGCGUGCCAAAGUCGCUAGAACGAAGUGGUGGAAGCUCAAGGGGGAGGUAGCUCAGGCGUUCAAGGAGAGGGUCAUUAAGGAGGGCCCUUGGGAGGAAGGAGGGGAUGCGGACAAUGUGUGGAUGAAGAUGGCGACUUGCAUUCGUAAGGUGGCCUCGGAGGAGUUUGGAGUGUCGAGGGGAAGGAGAAGCGAAGAUAAGGAUACCUGGUGGUGGAAUGAUGAUGUCCAGAAGGCGAUUAAAGAGAAGAAAGAUUGCUUCAGACGCCUAUACCUGGAUAGGAGUGCAGACAACAUAGAGAAGUACAAGAUGGCGAAGAAGGCCGCAAAGCGAGCUGUUGGUGAAGCAAGGGGUCGGGCAUAUGAGGACCUCUACCAACGGUUAGGCACGAAGGAAGGCGAAAGGGACAUCUAUAAGAUGGCCAAGAUCCGAGAGAGGAAGACGAGGGAUAUUGGCCAAGUCAAAUGCAUCAAGGACGGAGCAGGCCAACUCUUGGUGAAGGACGAGGAGAUUAAGCAUAGAUGGCGGGAGUACUUCAAC